rnacentral:rRNA from 1 species
ACUCAAAUGAAUUGACGGGGAGGCGCACAAGCAGUGGAGCGUGUGGUUUAAUUCGAUAAUAAGCGAAAAACCUCACCAGGACUUGACAUGUAGCUGCAAGCGCACGGAAACGUGUGACCUUCGAGGGUGCUACACAGAUGCUGCAUGGCUGUCGUCAGCUCGUGGCGUGAGCUGUUUCCUUAAGUGGAUCAACGAGCGCAACCCCCACCGUAUGUUAAAUAAUUCAUGCGGAACAGCUCCGUUUUACGGAGAGGAAGGAGGGGAUGAUGUCAAGUCAGCACGGCUCUUACGUCCUGGGCUACACACACCCUACAAUGGCGAACAACAACGGGUUGCAACUUGGUAACAAGAAGCUAAUCCCUAAAAUUUCGCCUCAGUUCAGAUUGAGGUCUGAAACCCGACCUCAUGAAGAAGGAAUUGCUAGUAAUCGCGAAUCAGCAGGUCGCGGUGAAUACGUUCUCGCCUCUUGUACACACCGCCCGU